AUUGAACGCUGGCGGCAGGCUUAACACAUGCAAGUCGAGCGGGGGAAGGUAGCUUGCUACUGGACCUAGCGGCGGACGGGUGAGUAAUGCUUAGGAACCUGCCUAUUAGUGGGGAACAACAUCUCGAAAGGGAUGCUAAUACCGCAUACGUCCUACGGGAGAAAGCAGGGGAUCUUCGGACCUUGCGCUAAUAGAUGAGCCUAAGUCGGAUCAGCUAGUUGGUGGGGUAAAGGCCUACCAAGGCGACGAUCUGUAGCGGGUCUGAGAGGAUGAUCCGCCACACUGGGACUGGAACACGGCCCAGACUCCUACGGGAGGCAGCAGUGGGGAAUAUUGGACAAUGGGGGGAACCCUGAUCCAGCCAUGCCGCGUGUGUGAAGAAGGCCUUAUGGUUGUAAAGCACUUUAAGCGAGGAGGAGGCUACUUUAGUUAAUACCUAGAGAUAGUGGACGUUACUCGCAGAAUAAGCACCGGCUAACUCUGUGCCAGCCGCCGCCGUAA
rnacentral:rRNA from 1 species